rnacentral:lncRNA from 13 species
AUGGGGAUCUAUGGUUGAUUCUAGAUGAAAUAGUCAACUCUGUUACAGUCAACCCUGUCACUUUAUUUGGCACUUAAUAGGCACUUACUAUAGUAUGUAUUUGUUACUUUUGAGAUGGGAAAAUAUGUUUUAUAUUAAGUUGAACAUGUGCUUUUUAUGACAGAAUGUUAGAAUUAGGUGAAUUUAAAAGUUACACUCCCCAAAAGGUGCUCAAUUGGUGGAAUGACCCGAGUACUGAACUGGAGGUGGGAGAGCUAACGAUGCUUCUACUGUUGCUCUCUCCUCAGAUUCUUAGAGAAGCUAUUUCAAUCUGAUAUUUCUCCUAUGGUCUAAAAUAGAUGUGUAUAGAGGACUCCUCUCUAAUAUAACAUGUCACACAUUGUAUCAAACUGAUGGAAUGUUAGGUGUCUCAUUGAAAGUCUAACAUCUACCAUGACUACUGGAUGUUUCAAUUCUAAUAAAUAACAAAACAAUCCACACCGUAACAACAAUAUUGCUUUUUUAAUAAAUGCUUUUAUUAAAGAGUAAAACUUUGCAAACAAAAAUGACAUCAUCAAACAUCACUGGCCUGACUUGAGCAGCUCUGCCCGGGGAUGGAGCCAGCAACUUAGCUGCUACCGGUCCGGUCCAGGCUACCUGCAGACCUCCUCCCAGACCUCCUUUUCAGAACCUCCCCUUAACAGGAGAGGUGGUGGAAAUGAUCAGAGUUGCAUUCAACUUGAAUAAAGAUGAGAAACUCUGGUCUGUGGAGCCACUGGUCUGAGGGGAGGACUUCUGUUGAAACCAUUUCCAUUUUUGGGAUAUUUUCUAGGACUGUAGAGGUGGUAAGCAGAGAUGAAUUUAACUAGGAUACAGAUGAGAGUCUCUGUUCUUGGGAGGAGGGUCACUGACCUUCGAUGGUUUGUUGCCUGAUAAAGAGGAUACUUGAUGGCUUGAGGAGACUAUAAUGUUUUGAGGAGGAAAUGUGGCUCGAUGACUUAAAGAGGAGGAGGAAUUAUUGGGCGACACUUUUAAUUACCAACGUAACCUCAGUGGAACUGUGGCUUCAUCGAGUUCCAGCUCUAGGCAGACAGCACGUCAGGAAGGCUGUAAGACAUCACAGAGACAGAUGCUUGGCUUUUUCUUUGUCUUGGAUAUUCGCUCUGAUGUUUCAACCUCUUCUGGAGCUUCUAGCUGCUGGCUGUCUGGCCCCCCCUGAUGGUUCUCUGGCCCCUCCUGCUGGUUCUCUGAACUCCCCUCCUGGUUCUCUGCCCAUGCCUGUUGCCUCCUUGGCCUUUCCUGGUGGCCAUCAGCAGAUCCAGUGGGCUCUUGGCUUACUUGUUGGCCUGUGGCCCACCAGGGCAACUCCUGACCGUGGUUGUAAUCGUGGCUGUGUUGGGUGGUUAGACACCGGGUGUUGAUUUGAGCAUCAGCCUCCAGAUUCAUCUGCUCCAGGUAGUUUUCCUUCAUCCUCUCCCUCUCCUCCUUCAGUUGUUGACGAGUCUGUUU